CUCCGAUGGGUAGCUGGCUUGAGAGAGCGACCAGCCACACUGGAACUGAGACACGGUCCAGACUCCUACGGGAGGCAGCAGUGAGGAAUUUUCCGCAAUGGGCGAAAGCCUGACGGAGCGAUGCCGCGUGUGGGAUGAAGGCCUUCGGGUUGUAAGCCUGUUCUUUGGGACGAGCAAGGACGGUACCAGAGGAAUCAGCCCCGGCUCACUACGUG
rnacentral:rRNA from 1 species